rnacentral:rRNA from 1 species
CAUCCUCCAAGGCUAAAUACUCCUGACUGACCGAUAGUGAACCAGUACCGUGAGGGAAAGGCGAAAAGAACCCCGGCGAGGGGAGUGAAAAAGAACCUGAAACCGUGUACGUACAAGCAGUGGGAGCCUCACCACUAAGCCAGUGGUGAACUCCACAUACGCAUCCUUUGCUGAGGAUACGGUUAACGGAGCGCAAGCGACGUUCAACCGCAAAAGAAGCAGAGGGGGCUUAGUGGUGGGGUGACUGCGUACCUUUUGUAUAAUGGGUCAGCGACUUAUAUUCUGUAGCAAGGUUAACCGUAUAGGGGAGCCGGAGGGAAACCGAGUCUUAAUUGGGCGUUAAGUUGCAGGGUAUAGACCCGAAACCCGGUGAUCUAGCCAUGGGCAGGUUGAAGGUUGGGUAACACUAACUGGAGGACCGAACCGACUAAUGUUGAAAAA